rnacentral:rRNA from 1 species
CAGCCGCCGCGGUAAUACGAAGGGGGCUAGCGUUGCUCGGAAUCACUGGGCGUAAAGGGUGCGUAGGCGGGUUUCUAAGUCAGGGGUGAAAUCCUGGAGCUCAACUCCAGAACUGCCCUUGAUACUGGAAGUCUUGAGUAUGGGAGAGGUGAGUGGAACUGCGAGUGUAGAGGUGAAAUUCGUAGAUAUUCGCAAGAACACCAGUGGCGAAGGCGGCUCACUGGCCCAUAACUGACGCUGAGGCACGAAAGCGUGGGGAGCAAACAGGAUUAGAUACCCCGGUAGUCCCUGUCUCUUAUAC